UAAGCAUAUGCAAGAGUCUGGAUGACCAAGACUUUAACAGACUUCCGCCAAAUUUGAGCCCGCCAUCGACAACAUGAGCAGGAAAAGAGUGGCAAAGUGAUGAAAACGAAGAUCCUGAAGCUAAUACAGCCAGAAAAACGGAUAGUGACGAUUGAACUAAGGAAAAUAUAAAAUGCUGAAAUUAAAAGGAAGAAAAAAGAAAUUCAAGCCGAAAACAAGAAGAAAUAAAGAAGCAAUAAUAGACUCAAACCAGCAAUCUUUGGAAAUGCAAGAAUGUAGAACCCAGCAGUAAUUACGUGCCCGAGUCCUGCAGUUCGAAUGUUCCAGUACUCGUCGGCAACACUUCUGGAGCUAGCAGUAUGCUUAAGACUACUACAUCAAUCAGCAACACACCUGUACCAGUCAGCAACUUGAAAGAACCCUGCUAUACUCGUGUGUCUGUGCCAUACAAUAACUCAGUUGUACUUAAUGGUCGAGAUGUGUUAACCUCUGUCAGCAACACCUCAGUGCCUUGCAGUUAAAAUAAGCCUGUGCCAGUAAGCAACUCGAAAGAACCCUACUGUCAUACUCGUGUGCUUGUGCCAAAUAACAAAAUUUCGAAUGUAAUUCUUUGAGAUUUAUUUUUAAUCAACUGCUCUAAUAAUGAUGACUGUGCUAUUCAAAAUCUCAACACUCUUAGCCUAUGGUCUUUUCUCAAAGAUUCAGUGUUUGAUGAUUUGUGGAUUCAAAGGAGAGUAUAUAUAUAUACAUUAUUUGCUGUGGUUCGGAAUUACCAUAGUGCUUUUAAACAGUAAUCUUAUUACAGUUUAUUUCUAGUCAUCAUGAUCUAUUGUUUUAAAAUAUUAAUUAAGCUCUGAUUUUAAUUGUAUAAUUUCAUUUUGAUUAUGUUUAUAACCUAAAUUCAAAUUUUUGUCAGAAAUUAAUCUGUU